AGCAGAGUGGCCCAGCGGAAGCGUGCUGGGCCCAUAACCCUGUGGAGGUCGAUGGAUCAAAACCAUCCUCUGCUA